UCCUUCUUUCUUCUUGGUCAGAGGCGCUCAGAUUAUUUGCUUCUUCUUUUUUUCUUCUUUUGUUGUCAUUUUUCUUCUUUCUCUAUCUUUUACUUCCUCAUCUCUCCUCCAGUCGCUCUCACCCUCAAAAACCAGAUCGAAAAACAUGCCAAACACCAAACAACCAAAUCUGAAUCGUACCUUCGCCAUCCGUUUCGUCAUCCUUCUCUCUCAGCCUCUCACAUCCUGUUUCAUUUCCUAUGAAACCAAUCUUGGCCCAAAAUCCGUAAUACCCAAAUCAAAAAACCUAACACCUCAGCCCCAAAUACCUCCUCCAAUCACACGUGCUCUCUCGACUUCUUGCUUAGCAAUCAGUUGCUUGUCACACUCGAUUUCUGUUUAGCAAUCGAAAUCUUGUCGCUCGUUAGUAAAGCUUUGAAGAUAAGUUAUAGGUUUCUGGUAGUGAUUUGGCUUGAAAUCUGGUAGUGAUUUCAAUUCGCAGCAGUCAAUUUGAAGGUAUUGGAGUUCGAUUCGCAGCAGGCCAUUUGAAGGUAUUGGAGUUCGAUUCGCAGCAGGCCAUUUGAAGGAACUCGUUGACGAGUUAAGGGUAUAUUUUCUCUUCUUUGACAGUGCUGCUUAUGGCAAAAGUGAUCUGUAUCCCUCACGCCCAGUUUAGAGUGAAGCAUAUGAUAUUCAAGAACUAGCCGACACGUUGCAGAUUGGGUCCAAAUUCUAUGUAAUUGGAAUUUCAAUGGGGGCUUACCCUGUUUGGAGUUGCUUGAAAUACAUACCGCACAGGCAUGCUACUUACUUGAAGAGCCAUGGCGCUAUUGUUUUCUUUUUUUGUUUUGAAUAAUGUUUCUGACAUUUACUAAAGAGAGGGACAUUUACUAAACAAGAGAGGGAGACAUUCCUAACCCUUCAUCAUAUGUUAGGCAACAAGUGGUCUCAGAUUGCACAACAUUUGCCUGGAAGGACAGACAAUGAGAUAAAAAAAACUUAUGGCAUUCUUAUUUGAAGAAGAAAGUGGCCAAGGCUGAUGAAGAUCAAGAUCAAAUGGAACUAGCUCAAAGCAAGUCUCAGUACACAAGUUUAUAUAUGGGGGUGAUUUAUGUAGUGAUUUUACCUUGCAUAAUGAUGUGAUGUAUAUAAAAGGGGGUGAACUUUGAACUUCUAAUUAUGCUUCUAUAUAAUAGUAAGAUUAGAGAGAUUGAAUAGUGCUUAUCCUUACAUGUGAGUUUGCUGUUGGAUAGACAUAGUGCCAUUCUUUAUUUGUUUCAACUCAUGGACUUGGAUUUCAUUUGCUUA